AGUAGUUUGAUCAGUGGCUCGAGGACGAACGCUGGCGGCACGCCUAACACAUGCAAGUCGAACGGAGAUUUAAGAGCUUGCUUUUAAAUCUUAGUGGCGGACGGGUGAGUAACACGUGAGCAACCUGCCUUCAAGUGAGGGAUAGCUUCUGGAAACGGAUGGUAAUACCUUAUAACAUAUUUUAGUCGCAUGGCUGAAAUAUCAAAGAUUUAUCGCUUGGAGAUGGGCUCGCGUCUGAUUAGAUAGUUGGUGAGGUAACGGCUCACCAAGUCGACGAUCAGUAGCCGGACUGAGAGGUUGAACGGCCACAUUGGGACUGAGACACGGCCCAGACUCC
rnacentral:rRNA from 1 species